UACGGAGGAUCCAAGCGUUAUCCGGAAUCAUUGGGUUUAAAGGGUCCGUAGGCGGUCUAAUAAGUCAGUGGUGAAAGCCCAUCGCUCAACGAUGGAACGGCCAUUGAUACUGUUAGACUUGAAUUAUUGGGAAGUAACUAGAAUAUGUAGUGUAGCAGUGAAAUGCUUAGAUAUUACAUGGAAUACCAAUUGCGAAGGCAGGUUACUAUCAAUAUAUUGACGCUGAUGGACGAAAGCGUGGGGAGCGAACAGG
rnacentral:rRNA from 1 species